rnacentral:lncRNA from 1 species
AACUUUCAUUUAGAGAGAGCAGAUUUGAAACACUGUUUUUGUGGUAUUUGCAAGUGGAGAUUUCAAGCGCUUUGGGGCCAAAGGCAGAAAAGGAAAUAUCUUCGUAUAAAAACUAGACAGAAUCAUUCUCAGUAACUGCUCUGUGAUGUGUGCGUUCAACUCUCAGAGUUUAACUUUUCUUUUCAUUCAGCAGUUUGGAAACACUCUGUUUGUAAAGUCUGCACGUAGAUAUUUUGACCACUUAGAGGCCUUCUUUGGAAACGGUUUUUUCUCAUGUAAGGCUAGACAGAAGAAUUCCCAGUAACUUCCUUGUGUUGUGUGCAUUCAACUCACAGAGUUGAACGUUCCCUUAGACAGAGCAGAUUUGAAACACUCUAUUUGUGCAAUUUGCAAGUGUAGAUUUCAAGCGCUUUAAGGUCAAUGGCAGAAAAGGAAAUAUCUUCGUUUCAAAACUAGACAGAAUCAUUCCCACAAACUGCGUUGUGAUGUGUUUGUUCAACUCACAGAGUUUAACCUUUCUGUUCAUAGAGCAGUUAGGAAACGCUCUGUUUGUAAAGUCUGUAAGUGGAUAUUCUGACAUCUUGUGGCCUUCGUUGGAAACGGGAUUUCUUCAUAUUCUGCUAGACAGAAGAAUUC